UUAUCUGUCUUUUUGUGUUACGAAGCGUGAGGAGUGAAUAUUUAACAACGUGUGUAAAGAUGGGGGAGAGCUGGCUUCGUCAGAGAUUACGAAUAUUUUUAUUUGAAGUUAAUGAGGACGUUUCUUGUAACAACUGGGACGUGUCUAAAGAUGUGAAUUUUGAGGUUA